rnacentral:rRNA from 1 species
UAUUAUUUAAAAUGUAAUUAUAAAUAUUUAAGUAGUAAUAGUUAUGUUCUUGAAACUUAAAAAAUUUGGCGGUAUUUUAGUCUAUCCAGAGGAACCUGUUUUAUAAUCGAUAAUCCACGAUGGACCUUACUUAAGUUUGUAAUCAGUUUAUAUACCGUCGUUAUCAGAAUAUUUUAUAAGAAUAAUAAUAUUCAAUAAUUUUUAUUAAAAUUUAUAUCAGAUCAAGGUGUAGCUUAUAUUUAAGUAGUAAUGGGUUACAAUAAAUAUAUUUAUACGGAUAAAAUUAUGAAAAAAUUUUUAAAGGUGGAUUUGGUAGUAAAAUUAUAUAGAUUAAUAAUUUGAUUUUAGCUCUAAAAUAUGUACACAUCGCCCGUCGCUCUUAUUAUUAAGGUAAGAUAAGUCGUAACAUAGUAGAUGUACUGGAAAGUGUAUCUAGAAUGA